rnacentral:tRNA from 2 species
GCCCGAGUGGCGGAAUGGUAGACGCAGCGGAUUCAAAAUCCGCCGGCAGCAAUGUCGUGCGAGUUCGAGUCUCGCCUCGGGCACCA